UGGCACUCCUCAUGCCAUUGAAAGGCUUUGGAUCAGGGACUUUCAUCUUGACGGUCGCAUCCCCCCGCGAAGGGUUUUGCAGCACCGUUUUGAGGAGUCGGACAUCAAAUUUCAUCUCCUCCAAUUGUUGCUGCGCCAUUGCCAAGGCUUCCUGCAGCAGAACCAAUAUGGCCAGCGAGUUCUCCACUUGCGACCACAAAGGUUCAGCGGCUUCACUUUGAGGCACACCGAGCAUCGCUUCCAACCGGGACAAUCUCUCACGGAUAGCUUCCAUGUUACCACCCGUUCGCAUGAGCGCCACCCCCACGCUCAAUGAUUUGGCUCUCAAAUGACCAAAAAUCCCUUCACUCGAGCAAACCUGCUCUGAUACCAACUGUCACAGGGCUGAUUCUCACCCAAAAUUUUUGCAAGAAUACUAACUAGCCUUGUGCGGCACUAGACCCACGUCUAGUUCAACCUCUCAGUACUCUCCUCCCACAAGGGACAUGAUAUCAAGGCACAUAAGGGAAAUAUCACAGAUUUCCUGUAUUCCAAUUCCCACAAUACACUGGAUAAUAGAGACCCGCCCACAGUCUCUCUGAAAUCCCAACGUACCCACUCCUGCCUCUACUAGUCAGCAAGCAGGGUAUACAUAGGCGGUGGACAACUUCCCCCAACCGCUGGGAACCAACUCAGAACCGUUCCCAUCUGUUUGGAGGGCAACCGCUCCAAGGAGUUGGGAGCCAACUGCUGUCAACUCCCCCAAACUGCUGCUGGACAGCAACUAACCAAGGCA
rnacentral:lncRNA from 1 species